UACGAAGGGGGCUAGCGUUGUUCGGAAUUACUGGGCGUAAAGCGCGCGCAGGCGGUUUUUCAAGUCAGUGGUGAAAGCCCGGAGCUCAACUCCGGAACUGCCAUUGAAACUGUAAAACUUGAGGACGAGAGAGGUGAGUGGAAUUCCCAGUGUAGAGGUGAAAUUCGUAGAUAUUGGGAAGAACACCGGUGGCGAAGGCGGCUCACUGGCUCGUAUCUGACGCUAAGGCGCGACAGCGUGGGGAUCAAACAGG
rnacentral:rRNA from 1 species